AGGACAAACGCUGGCGGCGUGCUUAAUACAUGCAAGUCGAACGGUCCCCUUAGGGGGAUAGUGGCGGACGGGUGAGUAACACGUAGACGACCUGCCUCGAAGUGGGGAAUAACGUCUCGAAAGAGACGCUAAUACCGCAUAAGCUCUCAGUCGUGGGACGGAGAGGAAACCUUCGCAAGAGGGGCUAUGAGAGGGGUCUGCGGCGGAUUAGCUAGUUGGGUAGGUAACGGCUGCCCAAGGCGACGAUCCGUAGCUGGUCUGAGAGGACGGCCAGCCACACUGGGACUGAGACACGGCCCAGACUCCUACGGGAGGCCAGCAGUGAGGAAUAUUCCAC
rnacentral:rRNA from 1 species